GUGCUCGCUUCGGCAGCACAUAUACUAAAAUUGGAACAAUACAGAGGAGAUUAGCAUGGAACCUGCACAAGGAUGACAUACAAAUUCGUGAAGCAUCAAAAAAAAAA